rnacentral:rRNA from 2 species
AAAUUCCCCUUAGCGGAGGAAAAGAAACCAACAGGGAUUACCUCAGUAACGGCGAGUGAAGCGGUAACAGCUCAAAUUUGAAAGCUAGCUCUUUUAGGGUUCGCAUUGUAAUUUGUAGAAGAUGCUUCGGGUGUGGCCCCGGUCUAAGUUCCUUGGAACAGGACGUCAUAGAGGGUGAGAAUCCCGUAUGUGACUGGGUGCUUUCGCUCAUGUGAAGCUCUUUCGACGAGUCGAGUUGUUUGGGAAUGCAGCUCAAAAUGGGUGGUAAAUUUCAUCUAAAGCUAAAUAUUGGCCAGAGACCGAUAGCGCACAAGUAGAGUGAUCGAAAGAUGAAAAGCACUUUGGAAAGAGAGUUAAACAGUACGUGAAAUUGUUGAAAGGGAAGCGCUUGCAACCAGACUUGCGCGCUGAUGAUCAUCCGGGCUUCUGCCCGGUGCACUCGUCUGCGCUCAGGCCAGCAUCGGUUUCGGUGGUGGGAUAAAGGCCUUGGGAAUGUAGCUUCUUUCGGGGAGUGUUAUAGCCCUCGGUGCAAUGCCGCCUACCGGGACCGAGGACCGCGCUCGGCUAGGAUGCGGCG